GAGAGACAGAGAAAGAUUUGUAAAGGGAGUAUUUUCCAGUUCCUCUCUGCGCUCGCUCCUGAAGUUUUGGCAACCUUAUUUCUUUCUAGAUAAUUGUUAGGGUUUAUUAAAAGGGGAAUCUAUACAAGAAAACAUAAAACACAUUGGGAGGAGUGUGUAUGAGGAUUGAGAUAUAUUGAAGGACAGAAAUCAAUGAGAAAAUAACAAAAGAGCAGAAGAUGUCAAAGAGAGAGAGCUGCCCGGGAUAAUGCCUGCGAAAAGAAGAGCAUGAUGACAUCACAGAGAGCAGCCCGGGAUAAUGCCCGAGAAAAGAAGAGCAUGAUGAUGUUGCAGAGAGAGCUGCCCGGGAUAAUGCCUGAGAAAAGAAGAGCAUGAUGAUGUCACAGAGAGAGCUGCCCUGGGUAAUGCCUGAGAAAAGUAGAGCAUGAUGACUCACAGAGAGAGCUGCCUGGGAUAAUGCCUGAGAAAAGAAGAGCAUGAUUAUAGUUCUUGCCUGCAGCACUUGUUUAUCUGACAUACUGUAUGUGUCUAUGUCUCUCUCUGGUGGACAUACGGGGGAGGAAAGGGGGAGACACUUUUUGGCACAGUGACACUGGAUUAUUUUGGUGACUUAGAUUUUUCUUGGCAUGGAGUCCCACGGAACUCUGUCAUUGUAUUUCUUUUACUACUGCCGUCUGUUCCCAGAACUUUUCCUCACCCUCAGUGUUGCUUCAAUUCAAAACAAAGACACAGGCAGGUGCAGAACAGCUACAGACAGUCUGUAAUGACUACCGAAAAUGGGAAUCGUGAGGCAUGUACUACCUGGGACUGAUGCCAACUGCUGACAAAAGGCUUCACUGCACGCUCUGCAGUCUUUAACUCCUCCUCUUCUUCUCCCCAAAUGCAGCGGAGAUCUCCAGCAUUGACUUGUUUUGAUAUAAUAAGUCUGGCAAAGCUUUUUGGGGUGCAAGAACCGAUAUUCCCAGUAGAAGUCCUGACCUCCUCUCCAGGUUGAUGAUAAAUUGAGCACCUGUCCUUGAGACUGAGGUAGUAGAUUGAAUAGUUGUGGGGUAUAUGUCCUCCCUCUGACAUAACUAUACAAUCUACUGUCUUUCCUAAGGAGACAGACCAAUCGUCAAUAGCCCUGAAGCCAGACCAUUUUCCCCUGGCUGUCCCAUCCAUCUCCCCAGCCUGGACACCUGCCUGCAGCCUGUCUGUGUUCUGUGGGUUAGUUAACAAUUAGCAUAUCACAUCCAUUCACUGAAUGUUCCAGGACAACAUGAGGAUGUGCAACAUUUCCUCUGUUAGACCAUCCAAUUCUUUAUUUGGUUUACAGCGAUUGGGGCCAAUUGUGAUAUGGCCCUAUUGGGUUUGAGUGAAAGUGUGCUUUAGGGUGAGUGUGUUUGUGUUGUCGCCUCUCGCUGUAUGUGUUUGAAUGACAUUCCCCCCUCAUCCGUCAGCCUUUUAGGUGAGUGUGUCCUGGCGAGGUGAGGUAGUAGGUUGUAUAGUUUGUGAAGGGAUAGAAUCCUAUUCAGGUGAUAACUAUACAGUCCAUUGCCUUCCUUGAGAGGCACAAUGACCGUCCGCAGCGAUGAGGAACUCCACAGAAAACUGCUUGUUGAAUUCCUCUGCAUUGUAUGUAAUCUUACUGUGGAAAAGCAACAGAGGAAGCACUGGUGUGUUUAUUACAGUUUGCUAGCGUCACCUAGUGGCCAAGGAGCAGCAGGACUCCAGAGACAUUCGACCGGAAGGUUCCCGUCGGCAGGGGUGGAAAGAGAACUGAAAUAUCCUACUCAAGUAGGAGUACUGUUACUUUAAGCAAUGCAAAAUAAAGUGCAUAAAGAAUAAAGUUGGCAGACUUCAAUAUAAUUCAUA